rnacentral:rRNA from 1 species
GGUGAACGCUGGCGGCGUGCUUAAGACAUGCAAGUCGAACGCAGUCUUCGGACUGAGUGGCGCACGGGUGAGUAACACGUAACUGACCUACCCCCAAGUCGCGAAUAACCAGCCGAAAGGAUGGCUAAUACGUGAUGUGAUGAUCCGCUGUGGCGGAUCAUUAAAGACUUGAUCGCUUGGGGAUGGGGUUGCGUUCCCUCAGCUAGUUGGUAAGGUAAAGGCUUACCAAGGCAACGACGGAUAGCCGGCCUGAGAGGGUGGCCGGCCACAGGGGCACGGAGACACGGGUCCCACGCCUGCGGGGGGCAGCAGUUAGGAAUCGUCCACAAUGGGCGCAAGCCUGAUGGAGCGACGCCGCGUGAGGGAUGAAGGUUCUCGGAUCGUAAACCUCUGAACCAACGACGAAAGACCCGACAAGGGAGAUGACGGUAGUUGGGUAAUAGCACCGGCUAACUCCGUGCCAGCCGCCGCGGUAAUAC